UACGGGGGGAGCAAGCGUUGUUCGGAUUUACUGGGCGUAAAGGGCGCGUAGGCGGCCUGUGCAAGUCAGUUGUGAAAUCUCCGAGCUUAACUCGGAACGGUCAACUGAUACUGCUCGGCUAGAGUGCGGAAGGGGCAACUGGAAUUCUUGGUGUAGCGGUGAAAUGCGUAGAUAUCAAGAGGAACACCUGCGGCGAAGGCGGGUUGCUGGGCCGACACGUGACGCUGAUGCGCGAAAGCUAGGGGAGCGAACGGG
rnacentral:rRNA from 1 species